rnacentral:rRNA from 1 species
AACGUGGGUAACCUGCCCAUCAGAAGGGGAUAACACUUGGAAACAGGUGCUAAUACCGUAUAACAAUCGAAACCGCAUGGUUUUGAUUUGAAAGGCGCUUUCAGGUGUCGCUGAUGGAUGGACCCGCGGUGCAUUAGCUAGUUGGUGAGGUAACGGCUCACCAAGGCCACGAUGCAUAGCCGACCUGAGAGGGUGAUCGGCCACAUUGGGACUGAGACACGGCCCAA